GAGAAAUUCAACAGCCCUGAUGCUCUUUCAUCUGUUUUGAGACUGAAGAGAGGAUGUGUGAGACGGCACAAUUGUUGAAUGGCCAUCCUGCCUUUCAAUCCUGUCCUAACAUUUCAAAGAGAUUUUAGAAUUGGACAGAGAGGAUCGUAUGACUAUGAGAGGGACUCAGACACCUGAGACAUACAUUAACAAACUCAGAUUAGUUAGCAUCUGAGACCAGAGAAGAAUGCAAGGCUGUUUUCCACCUUCUUCAGAGGAGCAAGAUGUUUGCUUCCAACAGGACUGGAUGCCCAGAGUCUCUAGGCCUUGAACGGACAUUCCAGGAUGGAAGAAUAUGACAGCAGGAAAGAAGAGAGAUUGUGUAUCGUCAGAUGAGAUAAAAGCUCUAUGAACUGUGAGGAACAUGGAGCCACAAGAUGGAAGUAUGAAGGAAUGUCACAGAACACUGGACAUUUAUCCAUCCCCAAAGUGAGGUUCACUCCUGCCUGCAACAAGACCAAACCUCCAGGGGUCCUUCCAUAUAUACAGCUCCUACACCAGCUCCAAGGACACCAACCAGGGAUGCCAAGCAGGAUGGAUAGAGGCAUUUCCCACCCCCAGAGAAACAGCAG
rnacentral:lncRNA from 1 species